rnacentral:rRNA from 1 species
GAUGAACGCUGGCGGCGUGCCUAAUACAUGCAAGUCGAGCGAACAGAUGAGGAGCUUGCUCCUCUGACGUUAGCGGCGGACGGGUGAGUAACACGUGGAUAACCUACCUAUAAGACUGGGAUAACUCCGGGAAACCGGAGCUAAUACCGGAUAAUAUAUUGAACCGCAUGGUUCAAUAGUGAAAGACGGUUUUGCUGUCACUUAUAGAUGGAUCCGCGCCGCAUUAGCUAGUUGGUAAGGUAACGGCUUACCAAGGCAACGAUGCGUAGCCGACCUGAGAGGGUGAUCGGCCACACUGGAACUGAGACACGGUCCAGACUCCUACGGGAGGCAGCAGUAGGGAAUCUUCCGCAAAGGGCGAAAGCCUGACGGAGCAACGCCGCGUGAGUGAUGAAGGUCUUCGGAUCGUAAAACUCUGUUAUUAGGGAAGAACAAAUGUGUAAGUAACUAUGCACGUCUUGACGGUACCUAAUCAGAAAGCCACGGCUAACUACGUG